rnacentral:rRNA from 1 species
CCCUAUGGGGUGCAGCAGGGUCGGUUCCAGGCUCCCAGGCCAGGGUAACGAGGGGAGCGAUCUCGGUGCUCAGGGUGUAACUGGCGCUGCCCACAUCGGUUUGCGGAAUAGUCACCAAAACAAACCAGGUGGUAUUCGUGGCCUCAGCGCUGUCCAGAAAGACCGUGUCGAGGGAACGAUCGGUGCUGCGCUUGAAAUAACUGGUCGGAGAGGGCAAGGAACCGCGCUGCACGUAAAUGUCCGGGUCGGUCGUCCCCGUGGAGGACAGCACCAAGCGCCAUCCGGGCAUGUUGGUCGGAACAUCCACCUGAAAAUAUUGCCCCGGUCCCGAGGAUAGAUCCCCUGAGGUGGAAAAAGUGACCGGCUUGAUCACCGGCAUCGUAGCUCGCCGGACAUCCGCCCGAUCAUAAUCGAGCGUCACCCGGAACGGGUCGGCAGCAGAAUUGGCGGGGGGGC